AGCAAAAUAAUGCUGCCACUCAAGAGGUUGUGGUGAGUGGUGACCACCACUUAGUUCUAAUUUAGGACAAUGUAACAUUGAUAGAUUUGAGGGCGAGAUUCUCACGACCAUUAUAGUUGUUUGGAAACUGACAGCACUAACCAACGCUCACCGGUGGACACUCACCCACUGGGAUAAUCAGGAGGAUGAGUAGGGCUCUGAUGCACUAUACAUGUACUUCCUCUGCGACGUCUAAUUGUUUCCUAGCUUAAAUGGCUUCACACCCACUUCCGCUGUGACACACCUGUAGUCACUCAGCACUCACCACGGGAUUGUGCCCAGAUCAGAUACCCACAAGUUAACUUAUUUUUGUUUAUUAUCUACUGAUAACCUACUAGCUUUAAACUCAGUGAUUAAUAAUUCUUAAAUUUAGGUUUUUCUUGCGAGUCGCUAACGAAGUGUUGCGAGUUUACGAGAGGAAUGAAAUAGCUGUUGCAAUGUCACUUUCUCGUCUUAUAAAGGACCCACUAGAGACUUUGGAAUCUGGGGCUUAACAUCUGGAGUAAAAAUCAGAUUGAAUGAAAAAUCUGUUUAAUUGAUCCAUUCAUAAAAUUGGCCUAGUAAGCCGAAGUCCUGAUGGAUUUGGUCUUUGAAUUGUUUUUAUUAAUGGUAAUGGCUUGCUGGCUAGGGAACUGAAGAGAACAUUUGGCGGCCAGAUUUGCCAGUUGUUGGAGCGUAGUGGAAGUAAGCUAGCCCCUUAAUUUAUCUUCUUCUAAGUUCUAGUCUUCUUGGUUCCCCCUUCCCUGUUUAGUUGAAGUGUAGGUUCUGAAAAUAAAAGCCGUCAUUAUUUAUUUGAA